rnacentral:rRNA from 1 species
UGCAGUCGAGCGGCAGCGGGUCCUUCGGGAUGCCGGCGAGCGGCGGACGGGUGAGUAAUGCCUAGGAAUCUGCCUGAUAGUGGGGGAUAACGUUCGGAAACGGACGCUAAUACCGCAUACGUCCUACGGGAGAAAGCGGGGGAUCUUCGGACCUCGCGCUAUCAGAUGAGCCUAGGUCGGAUUAGCUAGUUGGUGAGGUAAUGGCUCACCAAGGCGACGAUCCGUAACUGGUCUGAGAGGAUGAUCAGUCACACUGGAACUGAGACACGGUCCAGACUCCUACGGGAGGCAGCAGUGGGGAAUAUUGGACAAUGGGCGAAAGCCUGAUCCAGCCAUGCCGCGUGUGUGAAGAAGGUCUUCGGAUUGUAAAGCACUUUAAGUUGGGAGGAAGGGCAGUAAGCUAAUAUCUUGCUGUUUUGACGUUACCAACAGAAUAAGCACCGGCUAACUUCGUGCCAGCAGCCGCGGUAAUACGAAGGGUGCAAGCGUUAAUCGGAAUUACUGGGCGUAAAGCGCGCGUAGGUGGUUCAGCAAGUUGGAUGUGAAAGCCCCGGGCUCAACCUGGGAACUGCAUCCAAAACUACUGAGCUAGAGUACGGUAGAGGGUGGUGGAAUUUCCUGUGUAGCGGUGAAAUGCGUAGAUAUAGGAAGGAACACCAGUGGCGAAGGCGACCACCUGGACUGAUACUGACACUGAGGUGCGAAAGCGUGGGGAGCAAACAGGAUUAGAUACCCUGGUAGUCCACGCCGUAAACGAUGUCGACUAG